UAGUUGGUGGGGUAACGGCCUACCAAGGCGACGAUCAGUAGCCGGCCUGAGAGGGUGACCGGCCACACUGGAACUGAGACACGGUCCAGACUCCUACGGGAGGCAGCAGUGGGGAAUAUUGCACAAUGGGCGAAAGCCUGAUGCAGCGACGCCGCGUGAACGAUGAAGGCUUUCGAGUCGUAAAGUUCUGUUCUUGGGGAAGAUAACGACGGUACCCAAGGAGAAAGCACCGGCUAAAUACGUGCCAGCAGCCGCGGUAAUACGUAUGGUGCAAGCGUUGUCCGGAAUUACUGGGCGUAAAGAGUUCGUAGGCGGUUAGAUUAGUCAGAAGUGAAAGGCUACGGCUCAACCGUAGUAAGCUUUUGAAACUGUCUAACUUGAGUACUGGAGAGGAAAGCGGAAUUCCUAGUGUAGCGGUGAAAUGCGUAGAUAUUAGGAAGAACACCAGUGGCGAAGGCGGCUUUCUGGACAGUAACUGACGCUGAGGAACGAAAGCGUGGGGAGCGAACAGGAUUAGAUACCCUGGUAGUCCACGCCGUAAACGAUGAGAACUAGGUGUUGGGGGUCGAACCUCAGUGCCGCAGCUAACGCAGUAAGUUCUCCGCCUGGGGAGUACGAUCGCAAGAUUGAAACUCAAAGGAAUUGACGGGGGCCCGCACAAGUAGCGGAGCAUGUGGUUUAAUUCGAAGCAACGCGAAGAACCUUACCAGGUCUUGACAUCCCUCAGACCGCUUCAGAGAUGAGGCUUUCUCUUCGGAGACUGAGGUGACAGGUGGUGCAUGGUUGUCGUCAGCUCGUGUCGUGAGAUGUUGGGUUAAGUCCCGCAACGAGCGCAACCCUUGUCUUUAGUUGCCAUCAUUUAGUUGGGCACUCUAGAGAGACUGCCGGUGACAAACCGGGGGAAGGUGGGGAUGACGUCAAAUCAUCAUGCCCCUUAUGACUUGGGCUACACACGUGCUACAAUGGCUAGUACAGAGAGCAGCUAAACCGUGAGGUCAAGCAAAUCUCUUAAAGCUAGUCUCAGUUCGGAUUGCAGGCUGCAACUCGCCUGCAUGAAGUUGGAGUUACUAGUAAUCGCAGAUCAGAAUGCUGCGGUGAAUGCGUUCCCGGGCCUUGUACACACCGCCCGUCACACCACGGGAGUUGGUAAUACCCAAAGUCGCCGGACUAACCUUCGGGAGGUAGGCGCCUAAGGUAGGAUUGAUAACUGGGGUG
rnacentral:rRNA from 1 species